CAGUAGCCACGGGAACACGGAGGGUGCAAGCGUUAAUCGGAAUUACUGGGCGUAAAGCGCACGCAGGCGGUCUGUCAAGUCAGAUGUGAAAUCCCCGGGCUUAACCUGGGAACUGCAUUUGAAACUGGCAGGCUAGAGUCUUGUAGAGGGGGGUAGAAUUCCAGGUGUAGCGGUGAAAUGCGUAGAGAUCUGGAGGAAUACCGGUGGCGAAGGCGGCCCCCUGGACAAAGACUGACGCUCAGGUGCGAAAGCGUGGGGAGCAAACAGGAUUAGAUACCCGCGUAGUCCCUGUCUCUUAUAC
rnacentral:rRNA from 1 species